AGAAUCAACGCUGGCGGCGUGCCUAACACAUGCAAGUCGAACGAGAAAGUGGAGCAAUCCAUGAGUAAAGUGGCGCACGGGUGAGUAACACGUGACUAACCUACCCUUGAGUGGGGAAUAACCUCGGGAAACCGGGGCUAAUACCGCAUAACACCUACGGGUCAAAGGAGCAAUUCGCUUAAGGAGGGGGUCGCGGCAGAUUAGUUAGUUGGCGGGGUAAUGGCCCACCAAGACGGUGAUCUGUAUCCGGCCUGAGAGGGCGCACGGACACACUGGAACUGAAACACGGUCCAGACUCCUACGGGAGGCAGCAGUGGGGAAUUUGCGCAAUGGGGGAAACCCUGACGCAGCAACGCCGCGUGGAGGAUGAAGUCCCUUGGGACGUAAACUCCUUUCGAUCGGGACGAUUAUGACGGUACCGGAAGAAGAAGCCCGGCUAACUUCGUGCCAGCAGCCGC
rnacentral:rRNA from 1 species